UUUUAAUAAAACAUCUAUUAACAACCGAAAAUAAUGCUUCAUUUAGUAACUGAAUCAUCGCCAAUGUCUAUUAACAUAUGGUUAAAAAAAAUCAAAUAAAAAGUGACACAUACAUUUCCAUAAGCUAUCGCCAACUUCCCUCACCGACUACUUUGAUUGCAACGGAAAUAGCAUCAGUCCAACAAUAAAACUUUAGCCUCUAACAGUAGUGCUAUGAAAUUUAGGGUGUGGAAAACGGGUGAAGACACUAUUUACAAAUCCAUUCAAAAACACUUGAAUACAUACGUAUACGCAAAAAAUAUACACAAUCAUAUUUACAAAGUUUAUGCGUCGUAUCCUUGAAUGAAAGGGGUGCGUCGCGCAAACAAAUGUCGUUAACAACGUCUUAUAUAGGUGCUACUAGACUUGUGAGCCGAAUGUCAUACCUACAUAUAUACAUAUGUAUACACAUACCUACAAAGUAACAUAGCGCGACUUUUGUUUGUGCCUACGGUUAUAAAUUUGAAUAUCCAACUGCAAAACGAAAUUCGCCCCUUUUGUGGUGCGCCUUCUCAACACUCGGGGCCAGACCUCCGAAAAACAAUUGACAUGCGUUUGGCUUAUUGCUUUUUUUUGGCUUUGGCCACUUAUAAAUGGUCGUUUGUCACGUUGGCUGUUGAGAGCUACUCAUGGCUUAGCAAUUCUAUUAUUACCGUCUCAAUUACUUUAUUUAUUUUACAAAUUCGGUGCUAUUAUGCAUAGUAUACAUAUGUACAUAUAUGUAUGUAUGUAUAUAUGUAUUCAUAUAUAAAUGUGUUUGUUCAUAUGCACAAGAUUACAGGUGCUUUCUUGUAGAUAAACCAAUAGUAAAAGAAUUUCCUGGCUAUUCAAAUAACGUGAUUUUGGGCAAUUCAUGGAGUUUAUACAAUAAUUAAGAAUGAGAUUAUAUGCGGAAUAGGAACAAUUACGUAUACUAUAAUUGUACUUAUGAUUUUGGUGUGGAUAUUUCAACAUAUCAACAUUGUAUAAAAGUGAACAAAUAAAAUGAUACUAAUUUACAUCAAAUAUUAAGAAAAAAAAAUAUAAAUAUAGCAUAUAUGCAUUCCUUAAGCGACUCCAACAGGGCAUUCUGAAUUAAUAUCUUCGUAAAACUAUUGGAAAGCCAUAAUAUAGCCUAAUUGUUUUAUUUAAUUCUCAAAACUACACAUUAAGUCUAUAACUUACCAAAUAAUAAAGUACUAACUUCACAUACGGCUUUUUUUGAAAAGUAAAUAUUAUGUUUGUUUGGUAAUAUGCACACACCUGUUUGUGUUAUUUAUUUCACUGCACUUUAUCAUAAACAAACUAGUAAUGCGAAAUGGUCAAGGUCUGCAUACAUACAUACUAUGUACAUAUAUGCAACACAUUUGUUAUCAAUAGACGCGUAUUAAAGAUACAGUGUUAAGUUGUACCAUAAUUUGUGUAUUUUGUUAUCGGUACUAAACCCAAAUAAAUCGUAUGAUUAGAUAAAUACUUAUAAACUCAUCAUCUGAUUUCUUUAAAAUGCACAUUACCAACACACACACGACUUACUGUUAUAAACGCCCUGAUGCCAUUUCAAAAUUCUAAGCUAAGAGCAGGGUGUUUAGCAGGGUGGUGCCCUCUCCCCUCCACUGUUUAACUUCUAUAUCUCGAAAUAACCCCAGUCACCAGAAGAAAUUUCCAUCACCUCAUACGCAGAGGCUUGUACGAUAUUGACGUCGGGCUCCUAAUACUUGGCGACCAUAUUCACGACCGGAAUAAAGGAGUCUGUACUCCUGUACUGGAUCUUAAUAUUGCAGUCAAUGACAUUAAAAUUCCUACUGUUAACAACCCUAAAAUUUUACAGAUAACAAUCGAAAGCCUGCACUAUUUCACUCCACACACGACCGCGAUUAUUGCCAAAGUACCAGUAAAGAUAAAGAAAAUUUAUAGAUUCCGAGCGUAUGGUCAAAAAACAGGCAGAGCCACUUGAAUAUAGUGGUAUGUCGAUGAAGAAGAUUAAGACGUGCCAGAACACUGCACUCUACAAUAAUAUUUUCCUCUUGAUGUCUUACAAAUUAUUAAAUUUCAAUAAAUCGCCCUACUUUACCAUCACAAAACUCCUCCUUCUACAAUUAAUUCAUUCAAUUCUCCCUCUAUUCGUUUUUCAAUACAAAAAUUCUCGCUGUUCGCCGCGGCGUAGACCAAACACUUCAAAUAAAUCAUUCCAAGACAUUUAUAUUAACGCAACAACAACACUUUUUAUAUGCUAUGCCAAAGACGCUGCGCUAAAGUACUUAACUGAGAACGAAUGCCCUAGCAUGAUACGCUCGGUUGAGUAUGACCCGCUAAGAGACAGUGGUGAGCACAAUGAAAGCAUUUGAAUGAAAAGAUCAGCAGUGAUCGAGUGAGUGAGUGUGGUUAAUGAAAGCAAAGCCAAAAGCGGCAUCAAUUGUACAACAAACAACUGUAACAAGUAGCAGCGCGCACGCCAAACGACUUAACAGCAACAGCUGCGACUGCGUCCCAAGCGGUACACUUGACCACAAAGCCAAUUGGGGAGCGACGCUGGCUUCACACGCUGAUGACUAUGUGGCGUCGCACGCCGGCAAUGUGUUGGAGCAUUGGAACGCUUUGAAAAUAAAAUGUACAUUUAGUAAACGCGCGACGGCUUGCGUGUACGUUUGGCAAGUUUCGAGAGUUGUUGCUAGCGGAUUGUUUGCGUUUUUGCCAUUUGCCGGUCUCACAUGCGGGCAACGACGACGCUGGUCUAUAUGACUGUAGUGUGUAUAGUGUGUAAUAUGCUUAUGAAGUGAAAUAACAAUAACAAAAAGAAUUAAUCCGGCACAUGUUCAAUUUAGUUAAUGAUGCCAUUCUCAAAAUUUUAAAGAAAAAAAAUAUUAAUGUGUAGCACUCGUGUUGCGUAAAGCGUAUUCAAUAUUCUGAAUUAGACUUUGCUGUUGAUGAUGAUGGCUAUAUGGGUGGCGAUGAUACCUACAAUGAUGCACAAUGUGUUGCUCUUGAAAAUGACAAAGUGUCUGCAGCUGUGAUGGUGCUAUUGUGACCGACAAUCGAUGUGGUGACGCGAGUGU